GACGAACGCUGGCGGCGUGCCUAAUACAUGCAAGUCGAACGAACCGCGACUAAGUGCUUGCACUAAGUCAAGGUGAGUGGCGAACGGGUGAGUAACACGUGGGUAACCUACCUCAUAGUGGGGGAUAACAGUCGGAAACGACUGCUAAUACCGCAUAGGACAUAGGAUCACAUGAUCCAGUGAGGAAAGGUGGCGCAAGCUAUCGCUAAGAGAUGGACCCGCGGUGCAUUAGCUAGUUGGUAGGGUAAAGGCCUACCAAGGCGAUGAUGCAUAGCCGACCUGAGAGGGUGAUCGGCCACAUUGGGACUGAGACACGGCCCAAACUCCUACGGGAGGCAGCAGUAGGGAAUCUUCCGCAAUGGACGCAAGUCUGACGGAGCAACGACGCGUGAGUGAAGAAGGUCUUCGGAUCGUAAAGCUCUGUUGUUAGAGAAGAACAGCGCAUAGAGUAACUGCUAUGCGUGUGACGGUAUCUAACCAGAAAGCCACGGCUAACUACGUG
rnacentral:rRNA from 1 species